GGCUUAGAGUUUGAUCAUGGCUCAGGAUGAACGCUGGCGGCGUGCCCAACACAUGCAAGUCGAACGAAGCAUUUGAUUGGAAGUUUUCGGAUGGAAGAUGAAAUGACUGAGUGGCGGACGGGUGAGUAACGCGUGGGUAACCUGCCCCAUACAGGGGGACAACAGUUAGAAAUGACUGCUAAUACCGCAUAAGCGCACGAGGACGCAUGUUCUUGUGUGAAAAACUGAGGUGGUAUGGGAUGGACCCGCGUCUGAUUAGCUAGUUGGCAGGGUAAAGGCCUACCAAGGCGACGAUCAGUAGCCGGCCUGAGAGGGUGGACGGCCACAUUGGGACUGAGACACGGCCCAAACUCCUACGGGAGGCAGCAGUGGGGAAUAUUGCACAAUGGGGGAAACCCUGAUGCAGCGACGCCGCGUGAGCGAAGAAGUAUUUCGGUAUGUAAAGCUCUAUCAGCAGGGAAGAAAAUGACGGUACCUGACUAAGAAGCUCCGGCUAAAUACGUGCCAGCAGCCGCGGUAAUACGUAUGGAGCAAGCGUUAUCCGGAUUUACUGGGUGUAAAGGGAGCGUAGACGGAGGAGCAAGUCUGGUGUGAAAGGCGGGGGCUUAACCCCUGGACUGCAUUGGAAACUGUUUUUCUAGAGUGCCGGAGAGGUAAGCGGAAUUCCUAGUGUAGCGGUGAAAUGCGUAGAUAUUAGGAGGAACACCAGUGGCGAAGGCGGCUUACUGGACGGUAACUGACGUUGAGGCUCGAAAGCGUGGGGAGCAAACAGGAUUAGAUACCCUGGUAGUCCACGCGGGUAACGAUGAAUACUANGUGUUGGUACGCAAAGCGUAUCGGUGCCGCAGCAAACGCAAUAAGUAUUCCACCUGGGGA
rnacentral:rRNA from 1 species